UGGCUUUGGCAGCUCCUCUACUAAAAUUGGAACAAUACAGAGACGAUUAGCAUGGCCUCUAAGCAAGGAUGACAUGCAAAUUGGUGAAGCAUUCCAUGUUUUU